rnacentral:rRNA from 1 species
CGAACGGGUGAGUAACGCGUGGGUAACCUACCUCUUAGCGGGGGACAACUAUUGGAAACGAUAGCUAAUACCGCAUAACAAUACUUAACACAUGUUAAGUAUUUGAAAGCACCAAUUGGUGCACUAAGAGAUGGACCCGCGUUGUAUUAGCUAGUUGGUAGUGUAAUGGACUACCAAGGCGAUGAUACAUAGCCGACCUGAGAGGGUGAUCGGCCACAUUGGGACUGAGACACGGCCCAAACUCCUACGGGAGGCAGCAG